rnacentral:rRNA from 1 species
AUACAGAGGGUGCGAGCGUUAAUCGGAAUUACUGGGCGUAAAGCGCGCGUAGGCGGCUUUUUAAGUCAGAUGUGAAAUCCCCGGGCUCAACCUGGGAACUGCAUCUGAUACUGGUAAGCUAGAGUUUUGGAGAGGGAAGUAGAAUUUCAGGUGUAGCGGUGAAAUGCAUAGAGAUCUGAAGGAAUACCAGUGGCGAAGGCGACUUCCUGGCCAAAAACUGACGCUGAGGUGCGAAAGCGUGGGUAGCAAACGGGAUUAGAUACCCUAGUAGUCC